rnacentral:rRNA from 1 species
GCCUGCGUGAAGUUGGAAUCGCUAGUAAUCGCGGAUCAGCAUGCCGCGGUGAAUACGUUCCCGGGCCUUGUACACACCGCCCGUCACACCAUGAGAGUCGGGAACACCCGAAGUCCGUAGCCUAACCGCAAGGGGGGCGCGGCCGAAGGUGGGUUCGAUAAUUGGGGUGAAGUCGUAACAAGGUACC